AGAGUUUGAUCCUGGCUCAGGAUUAACGCUAGCGGCAGGCAUAAUACAUGCAAGUUGAACGGGAUAAGUUUAGCAAUAGACUUUGAGAGUAGCGCACGGGUGCGUAACACGUAUGCAACCUGCCCCUGACUGGAGAAUAGCCUCUCGAAAGAGAGAUUAAUGUUCCAUAACAUAUAGGAUAAGCAUUUAUUUUAUAUCAAAGCUCCGGCGGUCAGGGAUGGGCAUGCGGCUGAUUAGCUAGUUGGUGAGGUAAUGGCUCACCAAGGCUACGAUCAGUAGGGGGUCUGAGAGGAUGUCCCCCCACACUGGUACUGAGACACGGACCAGACUCCUACGGGAGGCAGCAGUAGGGAAUAUUGGUCAAUGGGCGCAAGCCUGAACCAGCCAUGCCGCGUGCAGGAUGACUGCCCUAUGGGUUGUAAACUGCUUUUGUACGGGAAGAAACCCUAGUUCGAGAACUAGAUUGACGGUACCGUAAGAAUAAGGAUCGGCUAACUUCGUGCCAGCAGCCGCGGUAAUACGAAGGAUCCAAGCGUUGUCCGGAUUUACUGGGUUUAAAGGGAGCGUAGGCGGAACAUUAAGUCAGUGGUGAAAGCCUGGAGCUUAACUUCAGAAUUGCCAUUGAAACUGAUGUUCUCGAGUAUUGUUGAGGUUACUGGAAUGUUGCAUGUAGCGGUGAAAUGCUUAGAUAUGCAACAGAACACCAAUUGCGAAGGCAGGUAACUAAGCGAUAACUGACGYUGAGGCUCGAAAGCGUGGGGAGCAAACAGGAUUAGAUACCCUGGUAGUCC
rnacentral:rRNA from 1 species